rnacentral:tRNA from 1 species
GGCUUAGCUCAGCUGGGAGAGCAUCUGCCUUACAAGCAGAGGGUCGGGGGGUCGAACCCCUCAGCC